AAAUUGAAGAGUUUGAUCAUGGCUCAGAUUGAACGCUGGCGGCAGGCCUAACACAUGCAAGUCGAACGGUAACAGGAAGCAGCUUGCUGCUUUGCUGACGAGUGGCGGACGGGUGAGUAAUGUCUGGGAAACUGCCUGAUGGAGGGGGAUAACUACUGGAAACGGUGGCUAAUA
rnacentral:rRNA from 12 species